GGAGCCGACCUUGAAAUACCACCCUUUAAUGUUUGAUGUUCUAACGUGGACCCGUGAUCCGGGUUGCGGACAGUGUCUGGUGGGUAGUUUGACUGGGGCGGUCUCCUCCUAAAGAGUAACGGAGGAGCACGAAGGUUGGCUAAUCCUGGUCGGACAUCAGGAGGUUAGUGCAAUGGCAUAAGCCAGCUUGACUGCGAGCGUGACGGCGCGAGCAGGUGCGAAAGCAGGUCAUAGUGAUCCGGUGGUUCUGAAUGGAAGGGCCAUCGCUCAACGGAUAAAAGGUACUCCGGGGAUAACAGGCUGAUACCGCCCAAGAGUUCAUAUCGACGGCGGUGUUUGGCACCUCGAUGUCGGCUCAUCACAUCCUGGGGCUGAAGUAGGUCCCAAGGGUAUGGCUGUUCGCCAUUUAAAGUGGUACGCGAGCUGGGUUUAGAACGUCGUGAGACAGUUCGGUCCCUAUCUGCCGUGGGCGCUGGAGAACUGAGGGGGGCUGCUCCUAGUACGAGAGGACCGGAGUGGACGCAUCACUGGUGUUCGGGUUGUCAUGCCAAUGGCACUGCCCGGUAGCUAAAUGCGGAAGAGAUAAGUGCUGAAAGCAUCUAAGCACGAAACUUGCCCCGAGAUGAGUUCUCCCUGAGACUUUAGGUCUCCUGAAGGAACGUUGAAGACGACGACGUUGAUAGGCCGGGUGUGUAAGCGCAGCGAUGCGUUGAGCUAACCGGUACUAAUGAACCGUGAGGCUUAACCUUACAACGCCG
rnacentral:rRNA from 1 species